UCCUUGGUGUAAAAUAUGAUUUGAGACGUGCUUCAGACCAACCUAACUUUGUUAGUCAAAAUGUAUAUCAGUGAAUAUGGCCCACAUUAAGCUCAUCCUUGGCUUCUCUCCUCCCAUGUUGAUUACAUUUUCCCUGAACACAGCAACACAAGAAAUAUAAAAAUUAUCAGAAUCUGCACAAGAAAAGUUUAUUAUGCUUAUUGACUUACUGAAAUUCAAAAGUCAAAAGCAUUGCAUGUAAUCACUUGCUUCAACUUUUAAUGCAAUGUGGUUCAGCAUAGCCAGCAUACGAGCUGUGGAACUAAUAGAAAAAGGAGAACACAUAUGAAGUGUUAUAGCUUAUCAAUUUUACUUGUGAAGAAACAAAAUUAAAUAAUACUGAGCAAAAUUGCUAACUAGGUUGCUCAUAAUUCUAGAUCAAAACAACAUAAAGGUGUCGGAUAAAAAAUAUUCUCAAUUAACUCAAGGGAAAUUGAGAGGGAGAGGUAGAAUUGAAAUAUUUAACCAAAACGGUCAUCACGCAUAGAACUACUAUAAUCAUAUGAGUACGGCAUACGCAAAUGAAUUACAACAGACUUUAUUUCUUGAAACACAGAUAAUUCUGCCUGAAUUGCAAUUAAAUGUGUGUAAGUUUAUUUAAGAAACUAUAGAGCAAUACAACUACAAUCAACAACCAAGCCUUAAUCUCAGUAGGUGGGAUUAAGUUGAUGGAUCGAAUGACGGCAUAAUGUUAAAAUAAUUAGCGACACAAUAUUGAUUAGAAUUGAAGUAUUAAAAUAAAUCAUUUCUGUUUCAUUACAUCGAACAAGGAUAACAUUAUGAAUG
rnacentral:lncRNA from 1 species